rnacentral:misc_RNA from 1 species
CCAAAACAUCUCCAUUGAAUGACAAAUCUACAGGCGUAUGCCUUCUCACUUUUUUUUGUUAUGGCUUUUAACUGAGCCUCAAAUUAGAACCAACACCUUGCCCUUUUUUUUCUUCCUUCUCUGAGUUAUCUCAGCAACCAAACAAACAACUGAAAGCAAACUUUAAUGAAAAGACUCCUUAAAACCUCAAUUGAGCUAACAAUAACCCAGAAGCCCAAACUCCAACCAAUUAGAAUUAAGCAAUUUUGUUAGUCAAACCCCUUCUUUGGAUGUCCUCCAUACAUGAAACUACACCAAGUUCAGAUUAAAAUUUCACUUUAACCCAUCAAAAGCCAACAACCACCUUUACCUUAAGUAGAGCAACCAAACUCACCAUUGUAGCACCCACAAUGAAUUAACUCUAUCUCCAUGAAGGCCACAAAUGAUAUUGUACAGCCACAAACUGUUUAUCCU